rnacentral:rRNA from 1 species
CUGCUGCCUCCCGUAGGAGUUUGGGCCGUGUCUCAGUCCCAAUGUGGCCGUCCACCCCUCUCAGGCCGGCUACUGAUCGUCGCCUUGGUGGGCCGUUACCCCGCCAACAAGCUAAUCAGACGCGGGUCCAUCUUACACCACCGGAGUUUUUCACACAAAUCCAUGCGGCUUCGUGCGCUUAUGCGGUAUUAGCACCUAUUUCUAAGUGUUAUCCCCCAGUGUAAGGCAGGUUACCCACGCGUUACUCACCCGUCCGCCCACUAAG